GGCUGGGUAGCUCAGUUGGUUAGAGCAGCGGAUUCAUACCCCGCAGGUCGGCAGUUCAAAUCUGCCCUCAGCCAC
rnacentral:tRNA from 1 species